AUCCCAGGAAUUUGGGAAAAUUUCCUCAAAAAAUCCCAGGAUUUCGGGGAAAUUCCCCCCAAAAUUCCAGGAAUUCAGGGAAUUUCACCCAAAAAAAUCCCAGGAAUUUGGGGAAAUUUCCCCCCCAAAAAAUCCCAGGAAUUGCAGGAAUUUUUUGGAACUUUCGUAUGGAUUUGAUCCUUUUAUCUCCCAAAAAAAAAAUUGGGAUGGGAGCCCCAGAAUUUCAGGAAUUUUGGGGAUUUUCCUGUGGAAUCGCUCCCGUGCCUCAGUGUCUCACCAUGUCCCAAAUUCCAAGAAUUUGGGGAAUUUUCCUGUGGAUUCAAUCCUUGUGCCCCCCAAAAUAUUGGGAUGGGACCCCCCAGAAUUCCAAGAAUUUGGGGGAUUUUCCUGUGGAAUCGCUGCAGUGCCUCAGUUUCCCAAAAAUUCCAGGAAUUUUGGGAUUUUUUUAAUGGAAUCACUCCAGUGCCUCAGUUUCCCAAAAAUUCCAGGAAUUUUGGGAAUUUUUUAAUGGAAUCACUCCGUGCCUCAGUUUACCCAUGGAAGGUACAAAACCCUCCCAGAAUUCCUGGAAUUUUUGGGAAUUUUAUAAUGGAAUCACUCCAGUGCUUCAAUUUCCCAAAAAUUCCAGGAAUUUUGGGAAUUUUUAAAUGGAAUCACUCCAGUGCUUCAGUUUCCCAGAAAUUCCAGGAAUUUUGGGAAUUUUUAAAUGGAAUCACUUCGUGCCUCAGUUUCCCAAAAAUUCCAGGAAUUUUGGGAAUUUUUUAAUUGCAUCACUCCAGUGUCUCAAUUUCCCAAAAAUUCCAGGAAUUUUGGGAAUUUUUAAAUGGAAUCACUCCUUGCCUCAGUUUCCCAAAAAUUCCAGGAAUUUUGGGAUUUUUUUAAAUGGAAUCACUCCAGUGCUUCAGUAUCCCAAAAAUUCCAGGAAUUUUGGGAAUUUUUUAGUGGAAUCACUCCUUGCCUCAGUUUCCAAAAAAUCCAGGAAAUUUUCGGAAUUUUUAAAUGGAAUCACUCCAGUGCCUCAUUUCCCAAAAAUUCCAGGAAUUUUGGGAUUUUUUUAAUGGAAUCACUCCAGUGCCUCAAUUUCCCAAAAAUUCCAGGAAUUUUGGGAAUUUUUUAAUGGAAUCACUUCGUGCCUCAGUUUACCCAUGGAAGGUACAAAAAUCCCGGCGGGAAAUUUGGGAAUUUUUUACUGGAACCACUCCGUGCCUCAGUUUCCCUUCCCCCGGGACAGGUACGAACCUUUUUCCCGGUUUUUUUAUGGAAUUCGUGGGAAAAUUUGAGAAUUCUCGCUGUGGUAUCGCUGGCUUUAUUUGUAUAUAUAAUAUAUUGUAAUAAACGCGCGCUGAUUGGC